UACGUAGGGUGCAAGCGUUGUCCGGAAUUAUUGGGCGUAAAGAGCUCGUAGGCGGUCUGUUGCGUCGGCUGUGAAAACCCGGGGCUCAACCCCGGGCCUGCAGCCGAUACGGGCAGACUAGAGUUCGGCAGGGGAGACUGGAAUUCUUGGUGUAGCGGUGAAAUGCGCAGAUAUCAGGAGGAACACCGGUGGCGAAGGCGGGUCUCUGGGCCGAUACUGACGCUGAGGAGCGAAAGCGUGGGGAGCAAACAGG
rnacentral:rRNA from 1 species